rnacentral:rRNA from 1 species
UACGGGGGGUGCGAGCGUUGUCCGGAAUCACUGGGCGUAAAGGGCGCGUAGGUGGCGUCGUAAGUUUGUGGUGAAAGCCCGGAGCUCAACUCCGGGUCUGCCGCGAAUACUGCGAGGCUUGAGUACUGGUAGAGGGGGGUAGAAUAUCGGGUGUAGCGGUGGAAUGCGUAGAGAUCCGAUAGAAGACCGGUGGCGAAGGCGGCAUCCUGGACCGGUAUUGACGCUGAGGAGCGAAAGCCAGGGAGCAAACGGG